GCACCCGUAGCUCAGCUGGAUAGAGUACCUGACUACGAAUCAGGGGGCCAGGGGUUCGAAUCCCUUCGGGUGCACCA
rnacentral:tRNA from 2 species